rnacentral:rRNA from 1 species
UACGAAGGGGGCUAGCGUUGCUCGGAAUCACUGGGCGUAAAGCGCACGUAGGCGGGUUGUUAAGUCGGGGGUGAAAUCCUGGAGCUCAACUCCAGAACUGCCUUCGAUACUGGGGACCUUGAGUCCGGGAGAGGUGAGUGGAACUCCGAGUGUAGAGGUGAAAUUCGUAGAUAUUCGCAAGAACACCAGUGGCGAAGGCGGCUCACUGGCCCGGUACUGACGCUGAGGUGCGAAAGCGUGGGGAGCAAACAGG